rnacentral:rRNA from 1 species
AUUGAACGCUGGCGGCAGGCCUAACACAUGCAAGUCGAACGAGUGGCGGACGGGUGAGUAAUGUCUGGGAAACUGCCUGAUGGAGGGGGAUAACUACUGGAAACGGUAGCUAAUACCGCAUACCAUCGGAUGUGCCCAGAUGGGAUUAGCUAGUAGGUGGGGUAAAGGCUCACCUAGGCGACGAUCCCUAGCUGGUCUGAGAGGAUGACCAGCCAACCUGGAACUGAGACACGGCCCAGACCCUUACGGAGGGCAGCGGGGGGAAUUAUUGCAAAAGGGGUGCAAGCUUAAUGAGGCCAGGCGGGGUGUAUGAAGAAGGCUUUCGGUUUGUAAGUACUUUCAGCGGGGAGGCGUUACCCGCAGAAGAAGCACCGGCUAACUCCGUGCCAGCAGCCGCGGUAAUAC